rnacentral:ncRNA from 1 species
ACAAUGACUAUGAAGAGGAAAAGUAAGGUUCAGUUAUUUUUCACAGAGAGCUUCGGUAGCUGAGAAGAAGCAAAAAUACGAACCCGAACAAUGGCCUCUGAGUUGCGUGCUGAAAGUUUUUCGUGUUUUGUCCCAACAAAGCACGAAAGUACAAGUAGGUUCCGCCGAGUUUGGUACUCGUUACAAAUACCACAGUAUGAAGGGAUUAAGCCCGUAGUACUGGCAGAGGCUGUUUUGUGCGAGUAAACAGUGAAGUAAGGUGGUACCACGUGAGCAAAACCACGUCCUUAUC